GACGAACGCUGGCGGCGUGCUUAACACAUGCAAGUCGAACGGAAAGGCCCUGCUUGCAGGGUACUCGAGUUGCGAACGGGUGGGUAACACGUGGGUUAUCUGCCCUGCUCUUCGGGAUAAGCCUGUGAAACUGGGUCUAAUACCGGCCAGGAGCUAUUUUUAGUGUGAUGGUUGGAAAGUUUUUUCGGUGUAGGCUGAGUUGGCUGCCUAUCAGCUUGUUGGUGGGGUAAUGGCCUACCAAGGCGGCGACGGGUAGCCGGCCUGAGAGGGUGGACAGCCACACUGGGACCUAGAGGCGGCACAGACUGGUACGCGAGGCAGCAGUGGGGAAUACUGAAGGAUGGGCGCAAGGCUGGUGCAGCGAGGCCGCGUGGCGGAUGACGGUGUUCGGGUUGUAAAACACUUGUGCUAGGAACGAAGCUCUUUGUGACGGUACCUAGACAAAAAGCACCGGCUAACUACGUG
rnacentral:rRNA from 1 species